rnacentral:lncRNA from 1 species
CGAGUAACGGACCGUCCGCACGCGCAACGAACCCUCGGCCCGGAGGAAUAUUGAAUAGCUAUUAUCAGGACGGGAAUGCGAGUCUGACCUGCUAACUUAAACUCAAGAUUGCUGAGUGGAAUCUGCAAGGGUCUGCAGACAACAGAAGUGUGUAGUGUGUGUCCAUUGAAGAGACCUUUUCCCCUCUGCUGAUAAUGAUGCACCAUUUCCACAUGAGGAGGCAUUGACUCCGGCGCAGCCCUGUCGCGCCCACAGCGCCCCCUCUCGGCCCGGA